AGGCCCAGUGUAUUGCAUAAAGCAAGCAUGGUACAUCCACAUGAUGGAAUAUUAGGCAUUCAUUUUUGUUGUUUGUUUUUUGAGACAGAGUUUCACUUUUGUUGCCCAGGCUGAAGUGCAAUGGUGUGAUCCGGCUCACUGCAACCUCCACCUUCUGGGUUCAAGGGAUUCUCCUGCCUCAGCCUCCUGAGUAGCUGAGAUUACAGGAAUGUCCUUCCUAAUCAAAAACUGCAGCAAAAUAUGUUGAAUGCUAAUAACGAAUUAGUAUGUAAAACGUACAACAUAUUUUCCUUAUAAUUUUUUUUUUUUUUUUGAGACGGAGUCUGGCUCUGUCGCCCAGGCUGGAGUACAGUGGCCGGAUCUCGGCUCACUGCAAGCUCUGCCUCCCGGGUUCACGCCAUUCUCCUGCCUCAGUCUCCUGAGUAGCUGGGACUACAGGCGCCCGCCACCUCGCCCGGCUAGUUUUUUGUAUCUUUUAGUAGAGACGGGGUUUCACCGUGUUAACCAGGAUGGUCUCGAUCUCCUGACUUCAUGAUCCGCCCGUCUCAGCCUCCCAAAGUGCUGGCAUUACAGGCUUAAGCCACCGCACCCGGCCAUAAACUACCAUUUCACACACAUCAUCUGACUGAAAACAUUGAAGAAGAUGAAUAGCAAAUGAAGUCCAGAAACUCACACAAGUAGGCCAUCCAGAACAUGUGCAAGCCAGCGACACUACAGGCAGCUCUGGGAGCCAGUUUAUAUACCAACUCCUGAUGGUACGUCCAGCCUGCUGCCCAGGAAGGAAGCCAGUGCUGGCAGCUGGAAGGUGCCUGGCGUGUAUGGGAGCAUCAAGAGCAUGGGGAGAUGCACUGCAGUGGCCAGCACAGACCUACAGUCUAUUAUCACAGUCUCACUCUCUGUAAUAAGAAGAUUAAUCAGGACUCUGAUCAUCUGCCCUCAUCUUCCGGUGUUACAAGUCAAGCAAAACUGUGGUGGCUGCCAGCUGAUUUCAUUCCCAGAAGCCCAGAGCUUUAUCAGCGGAAGGUCACUUCCAGCCCACAGAUAAGAUUAGCCACGCCUCUCACUUCACCUCCAGCUCCUCACUUUUCCAGAAUUAUCAACUAUCCUAUUUCUGUUCAAAGUAGCCAAAAUUAACCGCGGGCUGCUCUUUGGAGGCUUCUGCAGGGAGCGUGCACCCUAUGGCCAGCAGGAGCAGCACCUCCCUCCCUCCACCAAGAAUCUGUGGCAUCCCUGUUACAGAAUGGAAUGUGCUAGAGCUCUCAGGAUGUUGAG
rnacentral:lncRNA from 1 species